GUUACUUAAUGCAUAUGGUGGAUGCCUUGACUGAAGUAAGCGAUGAAGGACGCAGAAGGCUGCGAUAAACCUCGGGGAGCUGCCAAACAAGCUUUGAUCCGUGGGUUUCCGAAUGGGGCAACCCUACGUCUUCGGACGUAAUCACUGACUGAAUCAAUAGGUCAGCGAAGCAGACCCUGGGAAUUGAAACAUCUUAGUACCAGGAGGAAAAGAAAACAAUUGUGAUUCCGCAAGUAGUGGCGAGCGAACGCGGAAGAGUCUAAACCGUAUCCUUCGGGAUGCGGGGUUGCGAGGUAGUCAUACUCGUUUGAUCGGGGUAUGUCAUGUUCCCUUAGCAAAAUCCUUUGGAAAGAGGAACCAUAGCGGGUAAUAGUCCCGUAUGUGAAAAGUUAGUAUACGCAACGUGAUUGUUCUCAAGUAGGGCGGGACCGGAGAAAUCCCGUCUGAAUCUGGGAGCACUACACUUCCAAGACUAAAUAUUACUUCAGAUCGAUAGCGAACUAGUA
rnacentral:rRNA from 1 species